rnacentral:rRNA from 1 species
GUCGAGAAUAAUUCACAAUGGGGGAAACCCUGAUGGUGCAACGCCGCGUGGAGGAUGAAGGUCUUCGGAUUGUAAACUCCUGUCAUGCGUGAACAAGGUUGCUUGGUUAAUACCUGGGCAAAUUGAUGGUAACGCAAGAGGAAGAGACGGCUAACUCUGUGCCAGCAGCCGCGGUAAUACAGAGGUCUCAAGCGUUGUUCGGAAUCACUGGGCGUAAAGGGUGCGUAGGUGGCGUGGUAAGUCAGAUGUGAAAGCCCGGGGCUCAACCUCGGAACUGCAUCCGAUACUGCCAUGCUAGAGUACUGGAGAGGUGACUAGAAUUCUCGGUGUAGCAGUGAAAUGCGUAGAUAUCGAGAGGAAUACCAAAGGCGUAGGCAGGUCACUGGACAGUUACUGACACUGAGGCACGAAGGCCAGGGGAGCGAACGGGAUUAGAAACCCGGGUAGUCC